GACGAACGCUGGCGGCGUGCUUAACACAUGCAAGUCGAGCGGUAAGGCCCUUUCGGGGGUACACGAGCGGCGAACGGGUGAGUAACACGUGGGUGACCUGCCCUCAGCUCUGGGAUAAGCCUGGGAAACCGGGUCUAAUACUGGAUAUGACUCCAUGACGCAUGUUGUGGGGUGGAAAGCCUUGUGCGGCUGAGGAUGGGCCCGCGGCCUAUCAGCUUGUUGGUGGGGUGANGGCCUACCAAGGCGACGACGGGUAGCCGGCCUGAGAGGGCGACCGGCCACACUGGGACUGAGACACGGCCCAGACUCCUACGGGAGGCAGCAGUGGGGAAUCUUGCGACAAGUGGGACGAAAGCCUGACGCAGCGACGCCGCGUGA
rnacentral:rRNA from 1 species